UACGUAGGGUGCAAGCGUUACUCGGAAUUACUGGGCGUAAAGCGUACGCAGGCGGCUAUGUAAGACAGGUGUGAAAUCCCCGGGCCUAACCUGGGAACUGCAUUUGUGACUGCAUAGCUAGAGUCCGUCAGAGGGGGGUGGAAUUCCACGUGUAGCAGUGAAAUGCGUAGAGAUGUGGAGGAACACCGAUGGCGAAGGCAGCCCCCUGGGAUGAGACUGACGCUCAUGUACGAAAGCGUGGGGAGCAAACAGG
rnacentral:rRNA from 1 species